AGAGGGUCCGCCUGCCCCUCCUGGACCCUCUCUCUCCUCCACCCACAGCCUCCCUUCCCGUCACCCUCUCCCUGGACCCUCCAGCUCUACAGGAUGGCCUCUCCCUGCGUCUCUGAGUCCACCUCUCCCGCGGCUGCAGGUGGAAGUUGUCACCCGUCCUUUGAAAGACGUUCCUCGAGAGGCUACUGAUCAGAGCCAGGCCCUCUUCAGAGCUUGGGGGCCGCCCCUGCCCCCCGACAGUGUGUGCCAGGACCACUCAGCACGGAGCCGAGGGUGGCUUUCUCCUGUCCCUCAGCAGUGAGGUCACAGGGACCCGUGGAAGGCCCCACGUGGCACGGUGGGCAGCUCUCGGCGGGAAGUCCCUUCUGAAGCCCAGAGGAUUCCUUCCAGGCUGCGCGCGCAGCCCUGUUUCCCGUGGGACCUUCUCUGAAGACAGAGCCUUCGCAGGCCCCCGAGGCUCCCCGAGAGGCACCAGGUCCUGUGGGUGCGCAGCGGGUGCCGAGUGCACGGGCAGGGGGCUUCUUUUUCCUUAAAGGUUUCAUCCGAGGACCAGGAUUUUAAGCCUGAACUCUUGUAUUUGCUCAACAGGUGACUUGGUCUGACUUCCUGACUUCCCUUGGUGGUCUGAUCUGUAAAACGGGCAGGACAGCCAACGCGGUCACCGUGAGCAGGAAAGGGGAGGACCGCAGCCUGCCGUCCUUCCACAGGCUCCGAACSGCUUUCCUGCUCCUCUGUCCCCUUCUCGCCUCGGCAGAACGGGGCUGUGCACUGGUUUCCCUGGAAAAUCCUUCUUAUUAAAUGGCAGGCCAGGGAAGACCUGUGACGUUCACCAGUGGCCCUCAGCGGCCCUUGUGGAGGAAGGUGUCCGGGCCUUGGCGGGAGGAGGACGAAGGCCAGGCCAGCCCCUCUCUGGGUGCUUGCUGAACCUACAGAUCUUGUUCCCUUUGAGCCUGGGGGCGCAGGCCSAUCUUUUGAGAGAGGCCACCGAGUACAGGAGUUUMAAGUUUGUCCCUGAAGGCAGAAGAUCUUUCUGAACCUGGCCAUCUUGUUGACCUUGGGAAAGUUCAUGCAUCUCUCUGGAGAUGGUGAAUGUGACUGCGAAGUUAGAUGUUUAUAGAUCACAGGUGGCCCUGGAUACACCCUGUGUGGCUUAAUGACGGGGUGUGUUCCAAGAACCGKGUCACCAGGGACUCACCAUCCUAUUUAGGAUCUGUCAUUUACCAACACUUUGUUAUAUGAAGUGUGGUCGCAGCAUACAUAAAGUCAUGGCUAUUUUUAUCUUUCCAAGAUGCAAAUACGAUAGGUCAUGUCCCCUGCCGUCUUCACGGAUCGCCCAGUCCUCCGAAUAAAGCAAAUCCCACGCAUGUCCUCA
rnacentral:lncRNA from 1 species